rnacentral:rRNA from 1 species
CACGUAGGGGGCGAGCGUUGUCCGGAUUUAUUGGGCGUAAAGAGCUCGUAGGCGGCUAAGUAAGUCAGGUGUGAAAACUCCAGGCUCAACCUGGAGACGCCACCUGAUACUGCUUUGGCUAGAGUCCGGUAGGGGAGCAUGGAAUUCCUGGUGUAGCGGUGAAAUGCGCAGAUAUCAGGAGGAACACCAGUGGCGAAGGCGGUGCUCUGGGCCGGAACUGACGCUGAGGCGCGAAAGCGUGGGGAGCAAACAGG